AACGAACGCUGGCGGCAGGCCUAACACAUGCAAGUCGAACGCUCCAGCAAUGGAGAGUGGCAGACGGGUGAGUAACGCGUGGGAACCUUCCCUAUGGUUCGGAAUAGCCCAGGGAAACUUGGGGUAAUACCGGAUAAGCCCUUCGGGGGAAAGAUUUAUCGCCAUUGGAUGGGCCCGCGUCGGAUUAGCUAGUUGGUGGGGUAACGGCCUACCAAGGCGACGAUCCGUAGCUGGUCUGAGAGGAUGAUCAGCCACACUGGGACUGAGACACGGCCCAGACUCCUACGGGAGGCAGCAGUGGGGAAUAUUGGACAAUGGGCGCAAGCUUGAUCCAGCCAUGCCGCGUGAGUGACGAAGGCCUUAGGGUUGUAAAGCUCUUUUGGCGGGGAAGAUAAUGACGGUACCCGCAGAAUAAGCUCCGGCUAACUUCGUGCCAGCCGCCGCCGUAAGAC
rnacentral:rRNA from 1 species